rnacentral:rRNA from 1 species
ACAAUGGAGAGUUUGAUCCUGGCUCAGGAUGAACGCUAGCGGCAAGCUUAAUACAUGCAAGUCGAGGGGCAGCAUGAAGUAGCAAUACUUUGAUGGCGACCGGCAAACGGGUGCGGAACA